AGGUCUCCCCUUUUGCAGGAAAUAGAGAAAGAACGCAAAAGUCCCCCUCCCACCUGCCUUCAAAGCUGAUUCAAGCACAAAAUACUUUAUUGGGGUUUUCUACAGAGAGAGAGAUGGCUGACGAAUCCUUGAAGAAGAAGGGCGAUGGGUUUGAAUCAGCUACACAAAUCACAAUUGCUUCCGCACCGCUUCUCAUUCCAAAUUAACUUUUACGGUCUCUUCCUUUCUGAAACAUGGUGAUGUUGUUAGGAUGCUGCAUACAAGGACCUGGGAAGAUGCUGGUAUACGACUAUCUACUAUCUACGGAACACGAGCCUCGAUUACAUCCUUUUAGAUAAGCAAAAGUCUCCAUCUCUGCGCUUUGCACUCGACACAAAGGUCAUUUGUAUUUCGAGUCUAUAGUACCACGAUCUACUAUUAAAUGCUAUAUUACUUAAGAUAUGAGUGAUUACUGGUUGUCCUAAUAUAUUUAAUAGGAAGCAUCCCUGAAUCUAGAGGCGUGUCUAAGUUGAGUCAACUUCUUGGAGUAAAUAUUGACCCUAUUCAGUUCGUAUAUAUUUUGCAGCUAUUUUUAUGGUGAGGAACAAGGCCAUUGGAAUCAACUUGUUGAUAUUUAUUACCGUAAAGGUGUCAAUAAGGCAGACGCAGUUCCAUUUACUCUUGCAGUGGAAGAAGAAGGAAGACAACGCUGCCAGAAUACAACCUUUUGUAUUCUCUAAUACAUUAAAAACACCAUUUGAUCAAGGGCCUAUAACCUAACAGGAUUGAUAUUGGUGUUGAUAUUCUAAGUGGACUUCUGGCCUGGUCAUCUUUUUCUCGACAUCAUUUCAAAUCAAAAGCAUGUUAGAUUUCAUCACAAAAGAUGGUGUUUAAGUAAUUUUAGUAGCUUUCAUUUGUUUAUAAAUUACGAGAGUGGACAUGGUUUCAUAUCACCUCCGCUUCGCUCCGCUGCCGCUCCGCUCUGCUCCACUCCACCGAUGCACCAACGCCGCUCCGCUCCGCUCCACCGACGCUCCACCGAUGUUAGGGCUUGAUACACUCCAUCAAUCGAUACUCUCCACCUCAGUUAGGGCUCGUACAAAUUAAUCCCUCAUACAAUCCGUCAAUUGAUACGCUAUCAAUUGCAUUCAUAUCAAUCAGUGAAUCAAGUUGAAGAUAAGGUUGAAAUUUUAUUGUUAUCAAAGUCAUGGAGAACCAUCCAUAGCUUAUUGAUUUCACAUAUUAGGGUUUAGCAAGGUAUGAUUCUCGACUUUAGUUCUUGUGUACUCUUACAGAAGUAUAUGAACUUUGGGACUAGUUUGUGUACAUGGUUUCACUUGUAACAUUAGUCAUUAAUGACGUGUUCUAAAUUGUGAAUAUGUAAAUAUCUAAAUUGUGUACUCUACUUAAACUAGCUAAGUUAGGGUUCAAUUUGGUUCAGUCAUUACAUAAGAAAGAACUCAGCCAUCUUUCCAGGUAUACUUCCAUUUAUCCUAAUUUGGUGUGUUUUCAACCUGCAUAGUUUCAAUAAAAAAGGUGCUGCACUUAUCUAUUAUAGAACGACAUGAUUUAGAUAGUUAGGGCUCCUAGACAUAUAAGUUUGUUUCUCAAAAAUUGGAUGCUUUUAUUAUUUUAUAUGAACAGUACUACAGUAGUUAUAUGAACAUGUCUGGUGACUUUGAGCUAGCUGUAAGUGCCCCAAACCCACUUCUGUUCGUCGUCAACAACUCAUUCGUGACUGUCCCAUUCUCACCAACGUUGAACCCAAACAAAUCAAAGUUUGGUUUCAAAAUUGAAGGUAGGUGGGUUGGAUGCUAAUAGUUUUUGUUUUGUUUUUUUUCUAUGUACACACCAAAUAUAACCAACAUGUUUUGAGCGUAAUGGCUGUGGAUGAGAGAACACCAUGGUUAAGCGUGCUCAAGUGCAAGUACGAGUGUGCACAGUUCGGUUCAGCUAUUAACAACUGUAACCGAAGUCAUCGGUCAAACGGAUGUUUUCGUCAACAUACACAAAAUACGACAGUUGCUAGCAAGGACACUAGCUGUGAAUCAGUGGUGAGCAGUGGUCAAGGUCAACGGCAAUUAACCCCACAACAUCCUCCACGGGAUGCUAGUCCUGCUGGACUUUUGUCCAUUGCAGAGGAAACUUUAACAGAUUUUCUUUGGAAGGCUACUGGAACCGCUGUAGAGUGGGUCCAGAUGCCUGGAAUGAAGCCUAGUCCGGAUUCCAUUGGAAUCGUUGCUAUUUCUCACAGUUGCACUGGCGUGGCGUCGCGAGCGUGUGGCUUGGUCAGUCUUGAGCCUACUAGGAAAGUGCUGGGUCUAGUGUAAACUGGUCUCAAUUUGACAAAUAUGAGGGAAUUAGGAUCAAACACUUUAAGACUGUGUCAUCAGUGGAAUGGCAUCGAAAAGGAGACUAUUUUUCUACUGUCAUGCCUGCAGAUAUCCUUCUCAUUCUUAACCAAUUACCUUUGCGCUUGUAUAUUGUGGAACAACUUUGAAGAACCUAUCUGAUGUUACUCACCCUUGGGUCCGUUCUCAAAAACUUGUUGGGCAUUUGUUAUUCUAAGUUGUAUGGUGUCAUUUGCCAAGUCAGCGCUCGAGAAAGCUUUGGCUGAAGGCGUUGAUAUAGGUGGCAGUGGCGCUGAGAGCUCGUCUGCUGUGGAGGAAGCUCAGGUAGAUAUCCAUGACCCGCUACUCAUCAAAGGUUGAUUCUUUCUUUCAAAAAAUAAAUCACAGAGAAUUUUAUGUUUUUUCUUAAUAUAUUUUGGAUACCUGAGGAGUUUAUGUAAUAUGUCAAACCUCUUUAGAGUCUAUAUGAUGUUUUGAUUUGGAUGUUUAUUAUGAGGACCAUCGGAUGUAUAAAUUUUUACAUUUUAAUGGAAUGGCAACAAGUUAUAAAUUGUUAUGUUUUUAUGAA
rnacentral:lncRNA from 1 species